rnacentral:tRNA from 1 species
GAGGGUGUAGCUCAGGGGUAGAGCGUGUGCUUAGCAUGCACGAGGUCCUGGGUUCAAUCCCCAGUGCUUCCA